GAUGAACGCUGGCGGCGUGCCUAAUACAUGCAAGUCGAGCGAACAGACGAGGAGCUUGCUCCUCUGACGUUAGCGGCGGACGGGUGAGUAACACGUGUAUAACCUACCUAUAAGACUGGGAUAACUUCGGGACACCGGAGCUAAUACCGGAUAAUAUAUUGAACCGCAUGGUUCAAUAGUGAAAGACGGUUUUGCUGUCACUUAUAGAUGGAUCCGCGCCGCAUUAGCUAGUUGGUAAGGUAACGGCUUACCAAGGCAACGAUGCGUAGCCGACCUGAGAGGGUGAUCGGCCACACUGGAACUGAGACACGGUCCAGACUCCUACGGGAGGCAGCAGUAGGGAAUCUUCCGCAAUGGGCGAAAGCUUGACGGAGCAACGCCGCGUGAGUGAUGAAGGUCUUCGGAUCGUAAAACUCUGUUAUUAGGGAAGAACAAAUGUGUAAGUAACUAUGCACGUCUUGACGGUACCUAAUCAGAAAGCCACGGCUAACUACGUG
rnacentral:rRNA from 1 species